rnacentral:rRNA from 1 species
UACGUAGGGUGCGAGCGUUAAUCGGAAUUACUGGGCGUAAAGCGUGCGCAGGCGGUUUUGUAAGCCAGAUGUGAAAUCCCCGGGCUUAACCUGGGAAUGGCAUUUGGGACUGCAAGGCUUGAGUGCGGCAGAGGAGACUGGAAUUCCUGGUGUAGCAGUGAAAUGCGUAGAUAUCAGGAGGAACACCGAUGGCGAAGGCAGGUCU